ensembl:lncRNA
AUUAUAUAUAUUUUUAGCUUAAUUUAAAACGUCUUUAUUUUUUUAACUAAAUUAAGUACUCGUUCAUUUAUAUAUAACCUUACAUACGUUACUUUUUUUGUUUCCUUUAAUUUAAUUAUUGUAAUUUAUUUUUUUUUUUAUAUUUCGUUUUUUCUAAAAUAUUUGAAAAUAGUUUUGCUUAACAUUGCACACUUUCCGUAUAGAGAAAAAUAUAACGCGUACAUUGUAUCUCAAUUUAUAAAUUAUUACUACAACACCAGUAUAUAUAUAUAUAUAUAUAUACAUAAGUUGUAUACAAAAAAUAAAAAGAACAAGAUGGAUAAUCAGAAAAGCAUGGAAGAGGCACAAAACGCCUUAGGACUGAUGAUAUAUAAAAUUUUAAACAAUCAAGUAAAAAAAACAUGUUUUGAAAAAUGUUUUGGUCAAAAGUUUUCUGAGCAGAUGGGAAAGACAGAACAAGUUUGUUUAGCCAAGUGUAUGGAUAGAAUGUAUGAAACACAUACUAUUGUGACUAAAGCGUCUACUGAAAUGGCACAAAAUGUUAACAUUGACUCCAACUUUUAAAGCUUAAUAUAUGUAACAACGUUUUUUUUUUGUUCAUUGUAUUUUUUCAUAAUAUUAUAUGUACUUUUUUUUUUAUUUUUUUUUUAUAACUAUUUACACUUUUUAAAAACACAAAAAAAAAAAUAGCGUAAAGCUAAUAUUUAUAAAAAAUAAAAUAAUUAAAAUUUAAUAACA